rnacentral:rRNA from 1 species
ACUCAAAGGAAUAGACGGGGGCCCGCACAAGCGGUGGAUGAUGUGGAUUAAUUCGAUGCAACGCGAAAAACCUUACCUACCCUUGACAUGCCCGGGAGCCGGAUGAGAGUUCGGUGUGCUCGAAAGAGAGCCGGGACACAGGUGCUGCAUGGCUGUCGUCAGCUCGUGUCGUGAGAUGUUGGGUUAAGUCCCGCAACGAGCGCAACCCUUGCCAUUAGUUGCUACAUUGAGUUGGGCACUCUAAUGGGACUGCCGGUGACAAACCGGAGGAAGGUGGGGAUGACGUCAAGUCCUCAUGGCCCUUAUGGGUAGGGCUUCACACGUCAUACAAUGGCGGAUACAGAGGGUUGCCAACCCGCGAGGGGGAGCCAAUCCCAGAAAGUCCGUCGUAGUCCGGAUCGGAGUCUGCAACUCGACUCCGUGAAGUCGGAAUCGCUAGUAAUCGCGGAUCAGCAUGUCGCGGUGAAUACGUUCCCGGGCCUUGUACACACCGCCCGU